rnacentral:rRNA from 1 species
UACGAAGGGGGCUAGCGUUGCUCGGAAUCACUGGGCGUAAAGGGUGCGUAGGCGGGUCUUUAAGUCAGGGGUGAAAUCCUGGAGCUCAACUCCGGAACUGCCUUUGAUACUGAAGAUCUUGAGUUCGGGAGAGGUGAGUGGAACUGCGAGUGUAGAGGUGAAAUUCGUAGAUAUUCGCAAGAACACCAGUGGCGAAGGCGGCUCACUGGCCCGUAACUGACGCUGAGGCACGAAAGCGUGGGGAGCAAACAGG